rnacentral:rRNA from 1 species
ACCAGCGGCGAUAGACGUUGAAUGCACUAAUUACCCCAUGGAUCACUGAUGUUAAGCAACGUUGCGCGUGAUUAGUAACUGGAUGGGUGACCAUAUGAGGAAGAGCGUGCUGCUGGGU